AGCCUCAUACUCCACCACCGAUUUGUUUCCUUGGGUCCAGUUUAGGAACUCCUUCCUCCUAGCAUCCACAUAGCUUGCACCCACAUACUUUUCUUGGAAUGCAGCUUUGAAAAAACUCCCAGGUGACCCACUCCGGUUGGGUGCCCAAUUUCACUGUCAACCACCAUUGGUAGGCUUCCUCCAUAAGCAAUGACAUUGCCCCUUUCAACUUUUGCUUAGCUGAGCAGUCCAAAUCCUCCAUUAUCCUUUCAGAGGACUCCAACCAAUAUUCCGCCACAUUAGG
rnacentral:lncRNA from 1 species